rnacentral:lncRNA from 1 species
UUUUGCUUUUUGAUGAUGUAGCUGCAUGCUUGAUAGAAGCAGCUUGGACAUUCAUUUUACUUGGGAUUAACAUUAUUGAGUGAAUUGUGUUAUGAGACGUGCAGGUACAAAGUGGGGUGUGACUUACCUGGGAAGUACAGAGUUGCACUAGACAGUGAUGCUUUCGAAUUUGGUGGACAUGGAAGAGUAAGGAAGCCCUUUGCAUUCCCAAUGUUGUAUUAAGCAGAAGCUGAGUAUUUUAGGGACAUUGCAAUUAAAAUAAGAGCAAACAAAAAGGAAUGAACCAUCUCUCUUUCUUAUCAGAAGUUGUUGACCACAGUUUAACUGGCAGGUAGGGCAUGAUGUAGACCACUUCACAUUUCCAGAAGGAAUACCAGGGGUUCCUGGAACAAAUUUCAACCGCCGUCCCAACUCCUUCAGAGUACUCUCACCACCGCGAACAUCCGUGGUAUGAUAAUUACUGACAAUUUUGUUAAUCCUGACUUUCUAAUUUCAAGUUUUCUUACUUCUAGUGGUUGUGAGGUGUGUGUGAUGCUUCUCGUUUGCUUUAAUCUGGCAAACAAACAUCUGUGAUUGUUCUUAACCAUUAUCUUACGAACUUGUCAAGGUUUAUUACCGAGUGGAGAACUCAACAGCAAAAGUUGUGGUUGGGCAGGAGCACAAAGAAGUUGGAUCUAUGAAACAUGAAAAUGUUGGUCCAUUAGUGAAUUUGUCAUCGGAUAACUGAAAGAGGUGUGCUCCCACUGAUGGAUUCUGUAUGUGAAUAAAUAAGCGGAUUGUUCAACGAUAUAGAAAAAUGUACUACUUGCAGAUGCAGUCGCACUAGAAUGUGUAUAUGAAAUAAACGACUGCAUCUAGAAUGUGUGUAUGAAAUAAACGACUGUAUGACAUAAACAUUAGCAUUACUACUGGGUUCGUAGUUUCAAUUACUGAAUUAUAAAUCGUAGUUUGCUAUGUCAAGCUCGAUGAUAAUCUCACUAUUAAGACAUAUGCCAAAAUGUUAUUUGGUUUCUUUCCCAGUUGAAUCAUGAUAAUGCCUAAAAUCUCACUAUUAGGCCAUUUAAUAUCUGGAUAUAACGUAGUGUAGAUUAAUCUGGAUUAGGAUACAAUGCUGAUUAAUCUGGAUUAAGAUAUAAUGCAGAUAAAUCCCAGUUGUAAUCAAAUAGUGAAUCUUUCUCUUUGUAGAAGACACGUACAUUUCUCGGUUUCUCCUUGUAGAAGACAAUCCAGACAUAAUGCAGAUUAAUCCAAUUGUAACCAAAUACUGAACCUUUGUCCUUGUAGAAGAUAAUCCAGAUUGAUCCCCUAUUGUAAUCAAAUACUGAAUCUUUCUCCUCGUAGAAGAUGAGAUGCUCCUAUAUAUACCCACCCAUCUGCAAUUAUCAUCGCUCACACACAUUGUUCUUGAUAUUCAGUAUUAUCAUUACUUAAAAAGAUGGAGAUUGAUCUUACACCAAGGUUGGCUAAGCAGGUUUAUGGAGGAGAUGGUGGUUCCUACUCUGCAUGGUCCCCAUCGGAGCUUCCCAUGCUACGUGAAGGUGACAUCGGAGCUGCCAAGCUCUCUCUGGAGAAGGACGGCUUCGCUCUCCCCAAUUACUCUGACUCUGCCAGAGUUGCUUAUGUCCUUCAAGGUAAUGGAGUAGUCGGGAUUGUUUUGCCCGAGAAGGAAGAGAAGGUUCUGCCUGUUAAGAAGGGUGAUGCUCUUGCCCUCCCCUUUGGUGUCAUCACAUGGUGGCACAACAAGGAGGAUACCGAGUUUGUGGUUCUUUUCUUGGGUGACACCAAAACCGCUCACAAAAGAGGAGAGUUCACCGAUAUGUAUCUCAAUGGUUCCAAUGGAAUCUUCACCGGCUUCUCAACUGAGUUUGUCAGCCGAGCAUGGGAUUUGGAGGAGAGUGUUGUGAAAACUCUUGUUGGCAACCAAAGCGGGAAGGGCAUUGUUAAGUUGGGAGGAGCUAAUCUGCCUGAACCAAACAAGGAACAUAGAGAUGGGAUGACAUUGAACUGCGAAGAGGCUCCUCUUGAUGUUGAUAUUGAGGGAGGUGGAAGAGUUGUUGUUUUGAACACUAAGAACCUACCUCUGGUGGGUGAGGUUGGCCUUGGCGCCGAUCUUGUGAGAUUGGAUGGUAGUGCUAUGUGCUCUCCUGGGUUUUCUUGUGACUCUGCGUUGCAGGUCACUUACAUUGUUAGGGGCAGUGGCCGUGUCCAAGCUGUAGGUGUCGAUGGGAAGAGGGUCUUGGAAACAACUGUUACGGCUGGUAACUUGUUCAUUGUUCCUCGAUUCUUUGUGGUUUCAAAGAUUGCUGACCCGGAAGGCUUGGAAUGGUUCUCCAUCAUCACCACUCCCAAUCCAAUUUUCACUCAUUUGGCUGGAAGUAUUAGUGCUUGGAAAGCGUUAUCUCCUCAGGUGCUUGAAGCUUCUUUCAAUGUGGAUUCGGAUACUGAAAAACUCUUCCGAUCAAAGAGAACUGCUGAUGCAAUCUUCUUCCCUCCUCCAAAGUGAGCUGAUGAGCUUACACAAUAAGCGUUUUUUGGUUUAUGUUUCAUGGCCUUUUAUGACACGUUUACUUGUUAUGAAUGAAAUUCAUAAUGAAUGGGAGAAAGAAGAAAUGAGAGAAAGAAUGAAAUAGUAUGUUAAGAGUUCAAUUUCAUUGAACUGUUUAUUUACCACAUGGAAUUAAAAUAAGAAUGAAAUUAAUUACGAUUGAUGUUGUUUACUUAUCAUAUAAAAUUUGAAUUAAAACUACUUCGAUUACUAAAUUACCCUUUCAAAAAAAGUCUGCCAAGUAGUUUUUUUUUUUCCCGACAAAAAGUUAAGCAUUUUGUUUAAAUCAAUAUAGGAUCAUAGAACAUCCACUUUAUAAAAAAAAAAAACUAAAUAAACUUUGCCAAACUUUGAUGGUUGUUGGCAUUGAACCACCAGCAUGUUUUAGAAUAACAAGAACUUUGAAUCCUUAUGCAGAAAUCAAAAUCAACAUUUAAGAAGUGUGCGAUCUGCUAAAACUAAAUAAACAUAGAUAACUCUAUCAAAUCUCAAUCAAAACCCCCAACGAUUUGAACCCCUCCGCAUCACUCUCAAAAGACAAAUCAACAACGAUCAUGUGAAAAUGAUAAAGUAAAGAAGAUAAUAACAAAGGAGAAGAUCAUUGGAAAAGAUAGGACAAAGAAGAGUGACUAACCAGCAGCACAGUCGCACGAUUCGUUUUUGUCAUUGGUUGGCUGUUUCUGAUAAUGGCAAAAUAUGACACGUUUAUGAUAAGAAAUAUAUUCUGGGGUUAGGUAAUUUGGGGUUAUUGAAAUUAUGUGAGGAUAAUUUGGAAACAAAAAGUUCAUUUCUGAUGAUGUCAUUCCUAAACCCACCUCCUCCCUUGGUAUUACAAAUUCAGGUUAACAAGGAAUCAAUUCCAGGUUGGGAGGUGGGACCCACAAAAAUUUCUAUUCCACUAUGAGCAAAUAAACACAGGAAUUUCUUCAUCCCGUAAUCAUUCUCCUAUAUUUAUAUUUCAUUCAUGAUAAGUAAAUGUGUCAUUAGUUCAUAAUUUUUUACGAUUUAAAGAAAAAUAUAAAGAUGUGGAAUAUUCAAUAUUCUAAAGAGCAAAACACCUGGAAGCAACACGUAGGCUUUGGAGGAAGGAUAUAAAAACAAACGGACCAACGGCUCAUAGUUAGCGAGGAUCCAUCUCACGUCACGUGGAUCAUGAUACUUUGUUUCCGCUCCAAAGCAAUCCCUUUCUCCAGAAGAAGAAGCAGUACGAGCAAAUGCAAUCAAAUCCAGCCAGCAAACAGGUCCAUCAUUUUAGUGAAUGCGGGUCCAGAAGCAGCACCAACCGUCCAGAUUGUUCAGGCCGCCUUCUUAUUCUGAGAAGAGAGAGGUGCUCAUGGAAAAGUUGAGAGUGAGUGUAAGACUCACAGUGAGGCUCAGUGAUCGUUGAACAAGAUGCUGGGCUCUUUGGGUCGUCUUAAUCUCACUUAUUCUUCUUCUUCUGGGUCUUUCUCGUCUUCCAAGGACUACCCGAGUCCGAGGCUAUCUCAUCCCAAACUACCCUCUUUUCCGCUGCUUCGACAUAGAGUACUGUCCCCUCCAACUAAUUUAAGAUGUGGGAAGGUAGGUCUGAUGCACAUUUCUAAAUCAAUAUAGUCAUACGAGCCUUUGUUUCUGUUAAAGUAGAGUUAUUUAUUGGGAUCUUUCAAUUCUUGGUUUGUUAGUUGGAGCGUGAUUGCAAAGUUAGAGCAGUUUUGACAGACGACAGCUCGAUAAUGACGGUGAAUGAAGGAGAGACGGAAGAUAUUGGUAUUUUGAGAACAGACUCAAACUUGGAGCCGUACAAAGAUCACUUCAAGUGUAGAAUAAAGAGAUAUUUGGAGCAGAAAAGUCUCUUUGAGAAAUAUGAAGGAGGUCUAGAGGAAUUCGCUCGAGGUGAUUUGUGUUUCCUUUGUUGUCUUUAAUGGUCGAGAUGAUUUGUAUAUAUGCGUGAUGACAUCAUACUGUGUUUUGCUGCUCAUGUAGGUUUUGUGAAAUUUGGAUUUAAUAGAGAAGACGAUGGAGUUGUGUACCGUGAAUGGGCCCCUGCAGCUCAGUGAGUUCAUUAGCUUUUGAACAACCAUUUGAUUUUAGCUUUAGAUGCGUAAAUUUAUGUUUUGAUUAAUUAAUGUAAUCGUAAAACUCAGGGAGGCCCAACUUGUUGGAGACUUUAAUGGAUGGGAGGGCUCCAAUCACAAGAUGGAGAAGGGCGAGUUUGGAGUAUGGAGUAUCAAGAUACAUGACUUUGAUGGAAAUCCAGCUAUUCCUCACAAUUCAAAGGUUAAGUUCCGGUUCAAGCAUGGAGAUGGAGUUUGGGUUGAUCGUAUUCCUGCUUGGAUUAAAUAUGCCACUGUGGAUCCAGCAAAGUUUGCAGCUCCAUAUGAUGGUGUGUACUGGGAUCCACCACCAUCAGAAAGGUAACCGGUUUCAUUUUUUCUCUACGAAGAUGCAAAAUGGUCUCAUGAUAUGCAGAAAUUCUAGCAACUUAAAUUGUGGUAUCUGAGUGCAACAACUAGAAACUUUUGGUUUAUCCUGUAAUUUGACUUGGGUUUUCUGAUGAGAUUUAUCCACGGGAUCAUGCAGGUAUCAGUUUAAGUAUGGUCGUCCUCCAAAACCCAAGGCUCCACGAAUAUAUGAGGCCCAUGUUGGAAUGAGUAGCUCAGAACCCCGCAUCAGUUCAUACAGAGAAUUUGCUGAUAAUGUUUUGCCUCGUAUUCGAGCAAAUAACUAUAACACAGUCCAGCUGAUGGCUGUGAUGGAGCAUUCCUAUUAUGCUUCCUUCGGUUAUCAUGUGACAAAUUUCUUUGCCGUAAGCAGUAGAUCUGGAACACCUGAGGACCUUAAAUAUCUAAUUGAUAAAGCACAUUCCCUAGGUUUGCGGGUAUUGAUGGAUGUCAUUCACAGUCAUGCAAGUAAUAAUGUCACUGAUGGCCUCAAUGGCUUUGAAGUUGGUCAAAGCACACAAGAGUCCUACUUCCAUGCAGGAGAUAGAGGCUACCAUAAGUUAUGGGAUAGCCGACUCUUCAACUAUGCAAACUGGGAAGUUCUCCGCUUCUUUUUGUCCAACUUAAGGUGGUGGCUGGAGGAGUAUCAGUUUGAUGGUUUUCGGUUCGAUGGGGUAACUUCCAUGCUGUAUCAUCACCAUGGCAUAAACGUGGCAUUUACAGGAGAUUAUAAUGAGUACUUCAGUGAGGCAACAGAUGUUGAUGCUGUUGUUUAUUUGAUGCUUGCCAACUAUCUGAUCCAUAAGAUACUGCCAUCUGCAACUGUAAUUGCCGAAGAUGUUUCUGGGAUGCCUGGACUUGGUCGGCCUGUCUCUGAAGGAGGUGUUGGUUUUGACUACAGGCUGGCAAUGGCCAUCCCUGAUAAGUGGAUUGAUUAUGUGAAAAACAAGAAAGACGAAGAGUGGUCAGUGACAGAAAUUUCAUGGAGCUUGACAAAUAGGAGAUACACCGAGAAAUGUGUCUCCUAUGCUGAGAGUCAUGAUCAGGUAUGAGGUUUUCUUUUUGUGCAAGAGUCCAGAAGAAACAAGAGAGUUCAAGUUUUGUGAAGAUGUAUAUGUUUCGUUUCCCGAAGAUCUUUAUAAUGUCAAUGAUCUUGUUUCAUUGUCUCGUUAUUGUUGCCAAAUUAGCCCUCUCUUUACAAUUUUGGUUGUUAAUGCUUGCAGUCAAUUGUGGGUGACAAAACGAUUGCAUUCUUUUUGAUGGAUAAAGAAAUGUACUCUGGUAUGUCGUGUUUGAAGGAAGCUUCUCCUACUGUUGAUCGCGGGAUUGCCCUCCACAAGGUUUGUCCUUUUACUUUUGGUACCGGGAGCAUUAAUAGCAUAUGCUGUUUGGUUAGUAGGUGUCUGUAGUCUCCUUCUCUUGCUCAUUUUUUCGUUCUGUAUAUAUAAUGGCUACAUCAGCAAGGAUCAGAUUACACCAAAAAGUUCACCUAUCACUGACAAAGUAGCUAAAAUAUUUAUAUUUUUAACAAUCUUUUGGGUCACUGACUUUCAUUUUGGGUUUGGAGAAUAUCUGAACUAUUGCCACUUCUUAUUAGCAUAUUUAUCUAUGACGUGUUCGUUGACUCAAAAUAUUAAGUUUGUGGACUUAAUUAGCUCUCAUUGUUGUUUUCGACUUUUUCAGAUGAUACAUUUUAUAACUAUGGCAUUAGGAGGCGAGGGCUAUCUUAACUUUAUGGGUAAUGAGGUAAGCACGUUUGCUAGUAUGCCGCCUGGAAAUCUCUUAAUGCGGUGCUGCAGGACCUUGAAAUUUUUCAAUAUAAAAUGCCUUUUUUUUCUUUUUUCUUUUUUGUGUGAAACUAAUUAAGACGUGAGAGAAUUGUUGGCAAGUGGCAACCCUGUAAAAAGGUUGGUUUUCUUUGUAGUUUGGACACCCUGAAUGGAUUGACUUUCCAAGAGAUGGCAAUGGGUGGAGUUAUGAAAAGUGCAGACGCCAAUGGAACCUGGUGGAUACAGAUCAUUUAAGAUAUAAGGUCUAGAUUCUGUAGACAAAAUCUACUUUUACUGUUCUUAGCAUUUGUUAAUUUUUGCAUACUGUUUCAUGUUCUGUCAAUGGCUGCUCUAAUUAGACUUGUUACUAUUGUGGGCUAUAUUGAGAAAUAAAUUCUUGGCAUCCAUGUAGAGUUUCAUGUGUGUGCACAUAUAUUUAACAUAAAUUAGAUUUACUGGACCAGUAUAUUAUAUCUACUGUCAUUCCAUCUGAUCUAUUUCAGCGUCCUUGUCCUAAAACCAUGUUGCAUACGUUCUCAACGUGGUCUAUGAGAAUCAGUCUAGGUUCAUGGUUAAAAAUUUGUGGCAUGAAAUCAUCGCGGAACAUGAUUAUUGACAGGACUUGGAACCAUAUGCUUAAUAUUUGAGUUUAAGUUUUCUGACCCAAAAGAAAAGUACUAGUUUAUGUUGCAUAGUUGAUUUCUUUGCUUUUACAUAUAAUAAAUAAAGUUUAAUGUCACUUCUUACAUUGUUAUUUUUGCAACUUGUCCAGUUUAUGAACGCAUUUGACAGAGCUAUGCACUUGCUUGAUGAGAAAUUUUCGUUCCUUUCAUCAACAAAGCAGAUAGUGAGCAGCACAGAUGAGGAAGACAAGGUGAGAUAUAGUGUGGUGUUCCUUUAUUUGUUUUUUUUGAACAAUGAUAGUACUCUUUCUUAUUAUACAAAUAUCAGCUGGUGGAUAUUAGUGGUUCCCAGUUCUCGGGAAUGAACCAUUUAAAUCACUGCACAUAUUAACAAUACUUCAUCUUUGAAGUAUGCUUAGCAGCAACUCUUGGAAUUAGUAUAGAUAUCUUUAGUAGUUAAUGUUUAUCAAGUAUGGUCCAUUGUUUGACUGACCAGUCACCGUUUCUCUUUUAUGGACAAACUACUGAAGCAAGAAUGUAAACAAAGAUAAUUGAUUAUUUCAACUGACGAUUAUCUUUGGAAUUACGUGUUGCAGGUUAUUGUCUUUGAGCGUGGAGAUCUAGUUUUUGUAUUCAAUUUUCAUCCAGUAAACACAUACGAUGGGUACAAGUCCUUUUGCUUUUUGAUGAUGUAGCUGCAUGCUUGAUAGAAGCAGUUUGGACAUUCAUUUUACUUGGGAUUAACAUUAUUGAGUGAAUUGUGUUAUGAGACGUGCAGGUACAAAGUGGGGUGUGACUUACCUGGGAAGUACAGAGUUGCACUAGACAGUGAUGCUUUCGAAUUUGGUGGACAUGGAAGAGUAAGGAAGCCGUUUGCAUUCCCGGUGUUGUAUUAAGCAGAAGCUCAGUAUUUUAGGGACAUUGCAAUUAAAAUAAGAGCAAAAACAAAAAGGAAUGAACCAUCUCUCUUUCUUAUCAGAAGUUGUUGAUCACAAUUUAACUGGCAGGUAG